rnacentral:rRNA from 1 species
UACGUAGGGUGCGAGCGUUGUCCGGAAUUAUUGGGCGUAAAGAGCUCGUAGGCGGUCUGUCGCGUCGGUCGUGAAAACUUGGGGCUUAACCCUGAGCUUGCGGUCGAUACGGGCAUGACUGGAGUUCGGCAGGGGAGACUGGAAUUCCUGGUGUAGCGGUGAAAUGCGCAGAUAUCAGGAGGAACACCGGUGGCGAAGGCAGGUCUCUGGGCCACUACUGACGCUGAGAAGCGAAAGCAUGGGGAGCGAACAGG